AUUGAACGCUGGCGGCAGGCCUAACACAUGCAUGUCGAACGAGUGGCGGACGGGUGAGUAAUGUCUGGGAAACUGCCCGAUGGAGGGGGAUAACUACUGGAAACGGUAGCUAAUACCGCGUACCAUCGGCUGUGCCCAGAUGGGAUUAGCUUGUAGGUGAGGUAACGGCUAACCUCGGCGACGCGCCCUAGCUGGUCUGUGAGGAUGACCAGCAACACUGGAACUGAGACACGUUCCAGACUCCUAAGGGAGGCAGCAGUGGGGAAUAUUGAACAAUGGGCGCAAGCCGGAUGAAGCCAUGCCGAGUGUAUGAAGAAGGCCUUCGGGUUGUAAAGUACUUGCAGCGGGGAGGCGUUACCCGCAGAAGAAGCACCGGCUAACUCCGUGCCAGCAGCCGCGGUAAGGC
rnacentral:rRNA from 1 species